rnacentral:rRNA from 1 species
GUCUUAUUGAAAAUAAUUUUAAGUCAAAUCUGCUCAAUGAAUAAUUUAUUUAAAUAGCUGCAGUAUAAAUAACUGUACAAAGGUAGCAUAAUAAUUAGUUUUUUAAUUAAAAACUAGAAUGAAAGAUUUAAUGAAAUAUAAACUAUAUAUAAUUUAUUAAAUAAAUUUAUUAAUUAAAUUAAAAAAUUUAAAUUCUAAUUAAAGACGAAAAGACCCUAAAGAAUUUUUAUAAUAUAUAAUUAUUUUAUAAUUUUAAAUUAUUUUAAUUGGGGCAAUUUUAAAAUUUUAUAAACUUUUAAUUAAAUUAAAACAUAAAUUUUUGAACAAAUUAUAUUUUUUUAAAAAUAAAAAUUUAAAUUACCUUAGGGAUAACAGCAUAAUUUUUUUUAAAAGUUCUUAUUUAUAAAAAAGCUUAU